UACGGAGGGUGCAAGCGUUAUCCGGAUUUACUGGGUUUAAAGGGUGCGUAGGCGGAUAGGUAAGUCAGGGGUGAAAUCUUCGAGCUUAACUCGGAAAUUGCCUUUGAUACUAUCUAUCUUGAAUAUUGUGGAGGUAAGCGGAAUAUGUCAUGUAGCGGUGAAAUGCUUAGAUAUGACAUAGAACACCUAUUGCGAAGGCAGCUUACUACGCAUAUAUUGACGCUGAGGCACGAAAGCGUGGGGAUCAAACAGG
rnacentral:rRNA from 1 species